AUGUUAUCAAAUAGUGCCAACAAUAGCCAGGGAUCAACUCUCAUCUGUAAGGCCCUGUUUCACACUGUAGACUCACAAGAACACUUUACUGGUAUUUUUAUAUUUAUGGCCUCUAUCACACAGAGAUCUGCCUUAUACACUGUAUUAUCUAUUAUUCCAGAUGCGACUGCCUUCUCUUUCUGUGUAACACUGCAAUAUUUUUUUUGUUUAUCUGCUGAGAUCUGCUUCUCUAUGCAGUGCAUUCCCUCAUCACAGUUACUCAGCAUACAGUCUAUUGGGGUGAUUCUCGAAAUCCAAAGAUAUGAUUUAAAACUUAGCAUUUUGUUUUGCUGUAAGAUACUACUAUCCAAUAAAUAG
rnacentral:rRNA from 1 species